rnacentral:rRNA from 1 species
CCUCAAAUCCGGUAGGAAUAACCCCUGAACUUAAGCAUAUCAAUAAGCGGAGGA